UAUUUGAUUGUCUGAAUUCUUACAACUACAAUACCCACCUGCUGAAGUGAAGAAACAGAUUGACAGAGCCAGAAGAAUACCCAGAAGUCACCUACUACAGGACAGGUCCAACAGAGAAAACAGCAGAACACCACUGGCCAUCGCUUUCAGCCCUUAACUAAAACCUCCAACACAUCAUCAAGGAUCUAUAACGUAUCCUGAAAGACGACCCAUCACUCUCUCAGAUCUUGGGAGAGAGGCCAGUCCUUGCUUACAGACAGCUCCCCAACCUGAAGCAAAUACUC